rnacentral:rRNA from 1 species
UAGGAAAAGGGGAGCGGGUAGAAGAAGGGGAAACGGAGGGGUUCAGCGGCCGUUAAGAGGUACGGCGAGUCUGCUGAGGAGCGGCCGCUUUUAAGGUAUAAAGCAGCAGGACCGGUAAGGUGCUAAACAGAAGGGCUACCGGCUAUGUAGCUACAGAUGUGACUGCUGCUACCCUGAGAGCAGUGGCCGCCUAGCCUCCCGGCCGGCGGUGCCGGACAGGUUCUUUAGAAGCGGCUGUAGGCCGCGGCAGUCCGCCGCCGACUCCUGCGGCGGGCAGCGGAGGUGAUGGGCGUCGCCGCAGGUGUCGGGGCAGGUGGUAGUCUAAGCCGGAGGUGCUCGGUUGGUGGAGGUUGGGGGAGGGGAGGGGAGGUGAGGUGAGGUGGUAGUCUACGUCGGGUGGGGGGACGUUGGGGAAGGGGAGGGGAGGUGGCAGUCGACGUCGGAGGUGUUUGGCUUGGGUAGGGGAUACGAGGUCCGUUCGGAGCGGGGAAAUGUGAGUGGCUCGACCUACGCUAUGCAGCUGCGCAUCGUCUACGUAGAUUCCUUAAGCGGGUGAGGCUGAUGCGACUGCCCCUACCCCUUGAGAAGUGCCUGCAGCUGUUCUAUAGAGUUGCGCAUCGUCUACAUGCGUACCUUCAGCGGACGAGGCUGUAGGUCUGCUCCGGGAUGCUAGCCGGCGUUGGAGGUGUCACGCUCAUGGGAAGAAUACUACACGGACUCGUCAACCUUUGCGGUGACGAUCUCGGUUUCUUGUGGUUGUGAAGUAGAAGGAGGUGUGUCGGUCUCCGCGAUUGAGUACUGUAGAACGGUCACAGCUCCGUUAACAGAGGCGGAUAAAAGCGAGCGUUAGGAAGACCAACCGUAUAUGUCAAAAAGUAGUCUUAUCUACAGCUCCCAAGAAAGGUGUGCAUAGGAUCAGACCCGCCUGGUAAGGUCUCGAACGUCCUUCGACUCUUACGAUAGUGAUCGGUAGAACUACUCGACGCGAGAGGUUACUACACGUGUCUACCCGAAAGCCUACGACUCUAACCAUAUAAUGUGCUGGAAAUGACCGGACUACCGUGUUCCGUCUUAAGAAGACUUCCGCUACGCCUGGUAUCCUUAUAUUCGAAUAACCAAGUUCGCAAUGACCUGUUUAUGUUACUUCUAGUGGUAGAAGACCCCCUAAAACGUGUACUUGAACUACUACAACAAUAGAAGGCUCUUAAACAACUCCCCCUCUUUCACCAAUCCAAGAUAGUAUAGUUAGACCGAUGUUUUUGGUUUCCUCUUCUACCAAACGUGUCACCGCAGUUGUUAGAUAAAAAACGACUUCAGUCUGUUUAAUUUCCUCUUUUACAUAUACAUGAGUCAACAAAUACAUACCAAUUUGGAUGACUGUCACCGGUUACGAUACCAACGAACUCAAUACCUUUAUAACUAAACUUCGUGGGACAACUAUGACUAUUUAUGUUUCCACCGGUGUGACGGGGCGCGAGUGGGACAACGCCAAAACUAGAUGCCACACUACAUGGACGUAUGUAACUCCUACUCCUACUCCUCCGAUCCGACCGCUUCCUCCUCCGAUCCAAUUCUAUAUAUAUGUUCACGGGACGAGGCCGUUUUAACCUACCACGUUCUCACGCACGACCAAACCGUUUCUCUCUCCUACGACCAAACUGGUUCCCUCUCACACCGGUCCCUUUUCGCUUUAUGUAACACGGACGAUCCGCAGCAGACGACCAAACUCAUUGGGUAGUCCAUGCAUCUAUUUAAAUUAAACUAAAUCCAUUACGAACUAGAGUAAUGAGUAGUCACAGGAGCCACAAAGUAAUCCAAGUUCGUAAUAUCAUAAAAAUGUUAGACGUGCCAACGUACAAAGACGUACCAUUACUAAGAAAUCAACCUCCCGUCCGGACCGCGUCACCACUUCAGGAGGGUGAACACGGUUCUCCAGGACCCAAGCUUGGUCGGAGAGACGUAACGUGAAACGUCCCCGUUCUGAUCCAAGGAUAUUAGGGAGGGGUCUGGGGUGGAACACACCCUCGAAGAUACGUGACCCAGACAGGAUUACUAAGAAAUCAACUAGUUGAUCUCAGACCUAGUUCACAAUCCCGUUAGCUAAAGUUUAAAACGAUCUGUAAAUUCGUGAUCACAGUAAAUACUAGUUAGUUGAUGGUUACAAGAGUUUGGUAAAAAAAUUACUAAACUUAAUAUCACUUCCUCCUACCGUAACAAUCUUUACUUUUAUAUACGAAGACUGUACAAAAUAAAUUAUUGAAGACAGUAGGAUGGUAACAAGGGAAAACCCUCCACUACGAGUUAAACAAAAAUAGUACAUGUACGGUUUAACGGUUUUUUCUUUAAGGUAACUACUCAACAAAAGGAAGUCUUGAGGAACUAUAACAACGUGAUAAAAGUCUUCAACUUGAUCGGCCAACUACAACGUACCGUAUUGAUAAGAAAUCAAAGAUCAUAGAACCUCUGCCUAAUUUAGCGACACGUGGUAUUAAACCCUACAACAACGACGUUAUCAUCUUACAUACCUGGACGGUAAACGAAACCUGAACCAACAUCGACGAGCCUUCAAACCACGAAACCCAGGCAUUACCACAUUACAAAGUAUAAAAUCAAGGUACCUUCCAGACGUUACCUCGACGGAAAACAAAAAAAUUUACAACAGUUAUAAAUACGAAGUCAGAAAGUGGCUGUGUAUUCAAAGGUAGAUCAAUCGUGUGUACGAGGCGUAGAUUAAAAGUAGCUGUGCAUUAAACGGUACUGCAAUCGUGUAUCCACGGAGUAGAUUAAAAAGUACUGCCAUUGGUCAUACCUUACUUUCCUUCGUACAUACUAUUUCGUACGUACUAUACCUGUGUACCUUACUUAUAACCUUGGUAUACAUACGUCCCACUAAUUUCCUUCAAACGCUCCCUUGAAACGUUAAUAAGACCUUCGUAUAAAGAUACCUAAACUUCGUUUAAAAUCAAAACAACUUCGAUCACAGCAGCGAAUGUUGAGUAGACGUACGGUCCAAGCUCGUUUACUCAACUCUACCUAUUUAAGUUCUUCUAUUUUCGGUCACACGAGCUCGGUGAAAGUGAAAGUAGGAUCAAAACUCUUUAUGACAUCAUAUUGUUUAAAUAUGUUUCUGUUUACAAUUUUCUUAUAAAGCCGGAAGUUUUCAUUGGAAAGUUCCCCUCCGCUUAACCAAUGAGUCAACCAAUGUUUGUGCAUGUGAAGUGUAGCUUCCCUUCUGCUCACAUGUAGCUUCCCUUCUGCGGUCC